rnacentral:rRNA from 1 species
UUUGCUUAAAAUAAAAGGUCCAGCCUGCCCAGUGACACUGUUCAACGGCCGCGGUAUCCUAACCGUGCGAAGGUAGCGUAAUCACUUGUUCUUUAAAUGAGGACUAGUAUGAAAGGCACCACGAGAGUCAUACUGUCUCCUCUUUCCAAUCAGUUAAACUAAUCUCCCCGUGAAGAAGCGGGGAUAACUAUAUAAGACGAGAAGACCCUAUGGAGCUUUAAACGAAUAACACUUGCCCACCCCUCCUUUUACUUUCAGAAAAAUCUAUUACCUUGGCAUUAUACUUAUAAGUUUUUGAUUGGGGUGAUCACGGAACAAAAAAUAACCUCCGCAAUGAAAGACUCUCCAUAACUAAGUCAAGAACCACAACUCUACACAUCAACAAAUUGACACCAAUUGACCCAAUUUUUUGAUCAAUGAAC